GACGAACGCUGGCGGCGUGCCUAAUACAUGCAAGUCGAACGAGAGCAACCGGUGCUUGCACUGGUCAAUCUAGUGGCGAACGGGUGAGUAACACGUGGGUAACCUGCCCUUCAGAGGGGGAUAACAUCCGGAAACGGAUGCUAAAACCGCAUAGGUCUUCGAACCGCAUGGUUUGAAGAGGAAAAGAGGCGCACGCUUCUGCUGAUGGAUGGACCCGCGGUGCAUUAGCUAGUUGGUGAGGUAACGGCUCACCAAGGCCGUGAUGCAUAGCCGACCUGAGAGGGUGAUCGGCCACAUUGGGACUGAGACACGGCCCAAACUCCUACGGGAGGCAGCAGUAGGGAAUCUUCCGCAAUGGACGCAAGUCUGACGGAGCAACGCCGCGUGAGUGAAGAAGGUUUUCGGAUCGUAAAACUCUGUUGUUAGAGAAGAACAAGUGCUAGAGUAACUGUUAGCGCCUUGACGGUAUCUAACCAGAAAGCCACGGCUAACUACGUG
rnacentral:rRNA from 1 species